CCCUGCUUAGCUAAUCUUGAACCCAAUCUCAUUCAGCAGAAUUUGCUCUGGUGCUGUUACAUAGGAAGAACCAGACUGAAGAGCUGUGAUUUGACUGAUGUGUCAGUGGUUUGUGUAAUGCUGUUUCAGAAGAAAUCCUGUGUGUGUUCCUCUGAAUUGUAAAGGUUGGUAAGAAAGAGAAGCCUAAGUCAUCCAUUAAUCCACAGGCAAAGUACUAUUCAAGCAGCUGCAGUGAAAGCUCUCACAUGCUGCCCUGGAAAUAACCCCAGCCUUGACGUGGUAAGAUGACCCUAGUCACCCACCUCCCCAGGAAUUUCUCUAAGAAUGUGACUAAACCAAAGCACUUUUUAAGAAGUUACAAAGGAGAAGUGUCAAGCUGGGGAAGCCAGCUGGAGGUCUACAUGCAACAGGGUAAGAUGCUGAUCAGCUUCAGACUGUAUUCUAUUUAACCCUGCAACUUUAUGGGUUACUAUGUAUCAAGCCGCUUCAUGGGGGCACAGCGUUUAUGGGAAGGCUUUACAGUCUCUUUGUACCUCUGUAUUUGAUCAGACCUCCUGAUACCUUCCUCUUCUCUGUUCCUUCUCCCCUCACCCCAAGUUUAGCUUAUACCUGCUUAUAUGCCAAUAAUUAAU